UACGUAGGGGGCAAGCGUUGUCCGGAAUCAUUGGGCGUAAAGAGCGUGUAGGCGGCUUGGCAAGUCUGACGUGAAAUCCCGCGGCUCAACCGCGGUAGGUCGUUGGAAACUGCCUCGCUAGAGUCCGGAAGAGGAGAGCGGAAUUCCUGGUGUAGCGGUGGAAUGCGCAGAUAUCAGGAAGAACACCCGUGGCGAAGGCGGCUCUCUGGGACGGUACUGACGCUGAGACGCGAAAGCGUGGGGAGCAAACAGG
rnacentral:rRNA from 1 species